rnacentral:ncRNA from 1 species
GCAGAGUAGGCUGCGGAGCGUCAAGUGCCCGGUGGACAGGGAGUUGUCACCGGGACGAAAAGGAAGGGAUUUAUUUCCUUGCGGUUCCGCCGCCGCAUCCCGCUGC